GGCCAGUGGCGUAAGAGUGAGUAAUGGGACGGCAACCAACCCCAGGGUCGGGCAUAGCCGAGGGAAACCUCGGGUAAUUCCCGGCGACGUGAAAGUUAGGCAUCUAACCUUCACCACAGGUGCGAUUCCGCCCUGGGACGGGCCGUCUUGGUAUUAGCUUGUUGGCGGGGUAAUGGCCCACCAAGGCUACGAUGCCUACCGGGCGUGCGAGCGUGGCCCGGCACACUGGGACUGAGACACUGCCCAGACUCCUACGGGAGGCUGCAGUCGAGAAUCUUCGGCAAUGGGCGCAAGCCUGACCGAGCGACGCCGCGUGGAGGACGAAGGCCUUCGGGUUGUAAACUCCUGUCGAGGGGGAGGAAGGACGUGUGCAGAGCACGACUUGACCGAUCCCUGGAGGAAGCACGGGCUAAGUUCGUGCCAGCAGCCGCGGUAAGACGAACCGUGCGAACGUUAUUCGGAAUCACUGGGCUUAAAGCGCGUGUAGGCGGCUCGGCACGUCCGUCGCUGAAAGCCCCCGGCUCAACCGGGGAAGUGGCGUGGAUACGACCGAGCUAGAGGGACGUAGGGGGGGCUGGAACUUCCGGUGGAGCGGUGAAAUGCGUUGAGAUCGGAAGGAACGCCCGUGGCGAAAGCGAGCCCCUGGACGUC
rnacentral:rRNA from 1 species